GUUUGAAAUACCCCAGGACACAGCCAAUUGUUGAAGUAAGCUCUACCUGAUGUGCAGUUGACUAAGAGGAAGAAGACCUAACCCCACUGCCUUCCUACGGUAGUGAUACUAGGAGUAAUAUCUUUUGGUAUUAUGAAUUGCCAUUUGGUGUUCCUUCUACGCAUGCUCUGGGUUAUGAAUGCUAGAGCCGCCGCACGUGGUGACGAGAGGAAUCAUAUGUGGCAAGUGACAGCCUACAGAAUCAAAUUAUUUUUGAUGUCAGUUAUGAUUGCAGAAUCCAAAGCUGAUCAAGUGCUCAUGAUACAGAAGCAAAUAGGUGGAGAUGAGCAUGAAGCUAUUGCUGCUCAAACCAUGGGAAAGGAGCAAAGAGCAAUGCCAACAACAUGUAUGUUUGCCCACACUGGAUUGUACUUGCCUCAAGAGGAUUCUCUUGUUCCAAUCUCAAACAUUGGUUUAUAAACAUUGGUACAAUCUCAAAGAUGUAUGUUGUGAAUAAUUUAUCAUGUCUAGAGUGAUGCCUUGAAGCAAGAUGGUAUCUGGUCUGCAUCUAUUUUCCAGAUUACCCAAGCUAUUGCUUUUAUCCACCAACUUGACUUAACGUCAAUUCAGUUGGAAGAAGAAAAUGGCCAGGGACAAACACUAUAAAGGGUAUCCCUAUUUAUUUUGCUACUCUUAUCUAUUUUCAACUACAAUUGUUUUGUUUUCAAAGGGGACAUUUAUUCUUUAGUGCAAAGCGUAUAUUAUGUUAAGAUUAUUUUUCCUCGUCUCUUUUGACUUUUCGCUUUUAAGUUUUAGUUAAUUCUUUCUGCUUCUAACGAGUGAUGAUGUGGGCUUCCUUAUGAAAUUAUGCUCUUAAUUCCUCGAGGGUUUUGGUUCUUCCUCUGUUUGUGUGGCCAUGUAAAGCUCAGACCAACCAACCAUUUAUUUGGUAUUACAUAUAAAUGGUUUUGGUGAUUGUGGCUCGCACAAAAUUUCUAGAAGCUUGAAAGUAUUGUGACAUAAGAGGUACUUAAAAGCUUAAAAUUUCUAGACGCUUAAAAGUAGCUAAGAGAAGAUGAGCAAACCUGCUGAAUUCUGUAGGUAUGGACACUAGGGCGUACUUAAAUCCAGUUAGCAUCCUUGGCAACUAGACAGAGGACAAACGGGAGAUAUGGACGUUUAUUCUGAUAUCAAAGCAAGAUGUCAAUUUGAGGUUACAUCACCAUGUACAACUUCUUGGCGUCCACUUCUGAUUACAUCAUCCUAGAAUAUGAAUGAAACCCAAAAUGAGAUCACUUAGAGUUAGCACAUCUGAAGAACACAUUACAAUAACUGAAGCAAGAAAUGCAGCUUGGCAUGAAAAGUUUCAGCAAGAACUUCAUCAGGUGCCAAAAUUCAGUUUGUAAUAUCCUAAUGUUCUAUUGGCCAAAUAUUGUCCACAUACUAUUGUUCUGCUAUGCCAAGUUCUGUCAGCAUAAGAACAAAAUGAGAAGAACUUUGCUGCUUGAGUUGUAGUUACUUGACCAGGUAUCUUGAAUGUAUGCUGCAUAAAUCAAUGCUACAUGCAUAUUGUUUGCUUCUAUUUUAUAGUAUUGGGAAUAACAGUAAAUUUCACUGACUAACAGAUAAAAAUUUUAAAUGGAAUGGGGCUCAAGGAAUUUUCUCACCUAGCAACUGAAACCUUCUCUACUAUAUAGCUCAAGCAGGGCCAACUUUGUUCCUUUCCAUUGCAAUGCUUCAGAUAUAGAUCACACUUCAUUUCUUCAUGUUUAUUCUUUUCUUUAUCUCUACCAGUCUGCAGACCCCGAUGUUCUUUUCUUCUUCUCUUCUUAAUAGGCAUGUUCAUUAUAUUUUCUGCAGUUUGGUUCUGCUCUCAUGAUAUCCACAUCUGUAUCAAAAGCAGCAUCAGCUACUACCGUUAGAUUUGUGGUAUUCAUCAUUUCCUUCUUGACACAGGAACUGAGCAUAGCUGGGGAAGAACUAAGCAUCGUCGGCCAUGCCAUAUUCGUCCACAUCGACGCUGUGGCUGUCAAGCAUAUGGU